rnacentral:piRNA from 1 species
CUCAUGGGAACUUCGCAAAGAUCAA